rnacentral:rRNA from 1 species
AUUGAACGCUGGCGGUAGGCCUAACACAUGCAAGUCGAACGGCAGCACAGUAAUAGCUUGCUCUUACGGGUGGCGAGUGGCGGACGGGUGAGGAAUACAUCGGAAUCUACUUUUUCGUGGGGGAGAACGUAGGGAAACUUACGCUAAUACCGCAUACGACCUACGGGUGAAAGCAGGGGAUCUUCGGACCUUGCGCGAUUGAAUGAGCCGAUGUCGGAUUAGCUAGUUGGCGGGGUAAAGGCCCACCAAGGCGACGAUCCGUAGCUGGUCUGAGAGGAUGAUCAGCCACACUGGAACUGAGACACGGUCCAGACUCCUACGGGAGGCAGCAGUGGGGAAUAUUGGACAAUGGGCGAAAGCCUGAUCCAGCCAUACCGCGUGGGUGAAGAAGGCCUUCGGGUUGUAAAGCCCUUUUGUUGGGAAAGAAAAGCAGCAGGUUAAUACCCCGCUGUUCUGACGGUACCAAAAGAAUAAGCACCGGCUAACUUCGUG